rnacentral:rRNA from 1 species
GACGAACGCUGGCGGCGUGCUUAACACAUGCAAGUCGAACGUGAUUUUUGUGGAAAUUCUUUCGGGAAUGGAAAUGAAAUGAAAGUGGCGAACGGGUGAGUAACACGUGAGCAACCUACCUUACACAGGGGGAUAGCCGUUGGAAACGACGAUUAAUACCGCAUGAGACCACAGAAUCGCAUGAUAUAGGGGUCAAAGAUUUAUCGGUGUAAGAAGGGCUCGCGUCUGAUUAGCUAGUUGGAAGGGUAAAGGCCUACCAAGGCGACGAUCAGUAGCCGGUCUGAGAGGAUGAACGGCCACAUUGGAACUGAGACACGGUCCAAACUCCUACAGGAGGCAGCAGUGGGGAAUAUUGCACAAUGGGGGGAACCCUGAUGCAGCGACGCCGCGUGAGCGAAGAAGGUUUUCGAAUCGUAAAGCUCUGUCCUAUGAGAAGAUAAUGACGGUAUCAUAGGAGGAAGCCCCGGCUAAAUACGUGCCAGCAGCCGCGGUAAUACGUAUGGGGCGAGCGUUGUCCGGAAUUAUUGGGCGUAAAGGGUACGUAGGCGGCCUUUUAAGUCAGGUGUGAAAGCGUGAGGCUUAACCUCAUUAAGCACUUGAAACUGGAAGGCUUGAGUGAAGGAGAGGAAAGUGGAAUUCCUAGUGUAGCGGUGAAAUGCGUAGAUAUUAGGAGGAAUACCGGUGGCGAAGGCGACUUUCUGGACUUUUACUGACGCUCAGGUACGAAAGCGUGGGGAGCAAACAGG